rnacentral:rRNA from 1 species
GGAGCUUGCUCCCUGAAGUUAGCGGCGGACGGGUGAGUAACACGUGGGCAACCUGCCUGUAAGACUGGGAUAACUUCGGGAAACCGGAGCUAAUACCGGAUACGUUCUUUCCUCGCAUGAGGAAAGAUGGAAAGACGGUUUCGGCUGUCACUUACAGAUGGGCCCGCGGCGCAUUAGCUAGUUGGUGAGGUAAUGGCUCACCAAGGCCACGAUGCGUAGCCGACCUGAGAGGGUGAUCGGCCACACUGGGACUGAGACACGGCCCAGACUCCUACGGGAGGCAGCAGUAGGGAAUCUUCCGCAAUGGACGAAAGUCUGACGGAGCAACGCCGCGUGAGCGAAGAAGGCCUUCGGGUCGUAAAGCUCUGUUGUUAGGGAAGAACAAGUGCCAGAGUAACUGCUGGCACCUUGACGGUACCUAACCAGAAAGCCACGGCUAACUACGUGCCAGCAGCCGCGGUAAUACGUAGGUGGCAAGCGUUGUCCGGAAUUAUUGGGCGUAAAGCGCGCGCAGGUGGUUCCUUAAGUCUGAUGUGAAAGCCCACGGCUCAACCGUGGAGGGUCAUUGGAAACUGGGGGACUUGAGUGCAGAAGAGGAAAGUGGAAUUCCAAGUGUAGCGGUGAAAUGCGUAGAGAUUUGGAGGAACACCAGUGGCGAAGGCGACUUUCUGGUCUGUAACUGACACUGAGGCGCGAAAGCGUGGGGAGCGAACAGGAUUAGAUACCCUG